rnacentral:rRNA from 1 species
AGGAUGAACGCUGGCGGUAUGCUUUACACAUGCAAGUCGAACGCAAGUUUUUAACUUGAGUGGCGGACGGGUGAGUAACACGUGAGAAUUCGCCUUUAGGCGGGGAAUAACUAUAGGAAACCAUAGCUAAUGCCCCAUGUGCUCGCAAGAGUGAAAGGAGCAAUCCACCCAAAGAGAAGCUCGCGGCUGAUUAGCUAGUUGGUAAGGUAACGGCUUACCAAGGCGACGAUCAGUAGCUGGUUUGAGAGAACGAUCAGCCACACUGGAACUGAGACACGGUCCAGACUCCUACGGGAGGCAGCAGUGGGGAAUUUCCGCAAUGGGCGAAAGCCUGACGGAGCAAUACCGCGUGAGGGACGAAGGCCGUUGGGGUUGUAAACCUCUUUAUCGAAGGAGGAAGUUCUGGACGUGUACUUGAUGAAUAAGC